ensembl:lncRNA
AACCAACACCUAACCACCACCACCCUAACCAACACCACCCUCACCACCACCCUAACCACCACCCUAACCAACACCACCCUAACCACCACCCUAAACACCACCACGUGAUAUUGAACUAACCGCAGAAUUUCACUCCCAAAAUAACGCUGUACUCGCGCUACGAAUAGACAUCUCUUACUCUUACUUAAAUGUAGGCUCUCAAAUAACGGCCAUCAAUUGGUUGAUUACAAAUAUUAUGCAUGUCAGCUUCAAGUCAUGUUUUUUGCACAUUUAAUUCCCAGAAGAUCAAGAGUUUUGGAAUCUAAACGUGAGCAUAUUUGGCUUAGCUUGCCGGCAACAUCCGCCGUUUUAGUCGUCAUAAAAAAAAAAAGUAGAAAAAAUAUAUAUAUUUGUCUUUGUCAAAUAAAAUAUAAGGGGUAACACCGUCGUUUUUCAUCAAUCAUCAUGGGGAAAGAACAUAAGGGGUAACACUGUUGUUUUGAUCAAAUUAAACGUAACGGGUAACACUGUCGUUUUUUAUCUGUCGUCAUGAAAAAACCAUAAGGGGUAACACUGUCGAAAUGUAUCGAAUAAAACAUAAGGGGUAACAAUGUUGUUUUUUAUUGGUCGCCAUGAAAAAAACCAACCUGGUCUCACAGGAAUCUGUGAAAUGACUACGGACGAAUAACUCGAAAUCCGUGGACACAUCACGGAAACACGCCGAUUUCCGUGAUGUGGCCACGGAAUUCGCUCCAAUGCAAGUUAAUGACGCUGAUGUUCCGUGGCUCACACACGGAUCCCCGUUUCAACGAGCGAGUCGACCACGGGGGCUUAACUCAAAACCCGGGGUGGUCUCACUGAAACACUUAAAUUGUCCUUGUUGUGUCCACGGAAGUUGCUCCAAUGCAAGUAAAUGACAAUGAUAUUCCAUGGCACACACACAGAUUCCCGUUUCAAUCUGUGUGUGUGCUCCCGUUUCAAUCUGUGUGUGCUACAUUUGACCACAGUGGGGGCUUAACUCAAAAUCUGUGGUGGUCUGACGGAAUCACUUCAAUUGUCCGUGAUGUGGCCACGGAAUUUGCUCCAUUGCAAGUAAAUGACACUGUUAUUCCGUGGCUCACACACGAAUAUCGGCGUGUUUCCGUGAUGUGGCCACGGAUUUCAAGUUAAGCGUCCGACCGUAGUCAUUUCACGGAUUCCUGUGAGACCAUGUUGAAAAAAACAUAAGGGGUAACACUGUUGUUUUUUAUUGGUCGUCAUGAAAAAAAACAUAAGGGGUAACACUGUUGUUUUUUAUUGGUCGUCAUGAAUAAAACAUAAGGGGUAACACUGUUGUUUUUUGUCGUCAUGAACAAAAACAUAAGGGGUAACACUGUUGUUUUUUAUCGGCCGUCAUGAAAAAAAACAUAAGGGGUAACACUGUUGUUUUUUAUCGGUCGUCAUGAAAAAAAACAAAAGGGGGAAACACUGUGUUUUUUUAUCGGUCGUCAUGAAAAAAAACAUAAGGGGUAACACUGUUGUCCUGAUCAAAUAAAAUAUAAGGGGUAACACUGUUGUCCUGGUCAAAUAAAAUAUAAGGGGUAACACUGUUGUUUUUAUUGGUCGUCAUGAAAAAAAACAUAAGGGGUAACACUUGUUUUUUAUUGGUCGUCAUGAAUAAAACAUAAGGGAUAACACUGUUGUUUUUUGUCGUCAUGAACAAAAACAUAAGGCAACACUGUUGUUUUUUAUUGGUAGUCAUGAAAAAAACAUAAGGGGUAAUACUGUUGUUUUUUAUUGGUCGUCAUGAAUAAAACAUAAGGGGUAACAAGGUUGUUUUUUAUUGGUCGUCAUGAAAAAAACAUAAGGGGUAACACUGUUGUUUUUUAUUGGUCGUCAUGAAAAAAACAUAAGGGGUAACACUGUUGUUUUUUAUUGGUCGUCAUGAAAAAAACAUAAGGGGUAACACUGUUGUUUUUUAUCGGCCGUCAUGAAAAAAAACAUAAGGGGUAACACUGUUGUUUUUUAUUGGUCGUCAAGAAAAAAACAUAAGGGGUAACACUGUCGUUUCGUGAUGUGGCCACGGAAUUUGCUCCAUUGCAAGUAAAUGACACUGUUAUUCCGUGGCUCACACACGAAUAUCGGCGUGUUUCCGUGAUGUGGCCACGGAUUUCAAGUUAAGCGUCCGACCGUAGUCAUUUCACGGAUUCCUGUGAGACCAUGUUGAAAAAAACAUAAGGGGUAACACUGUUGUUUUUUAUUGGUCGUCAUGAAAAAAAACAUAAGGGGUAACACUGUUGUUUUUUAUCGGUCGUCAUGAAAAAAAACAUAAGGGUAACACUGUUGUUUUUUAUUGGUCGUCAUGAAAAAAAACAUAAGGGGUAACACUAUCGUUUUUAUUGGUCGUCAUGAAAAAAACAUAAGGGGUAACACUGUCGUUUUUAUUGGUCGUCAUGAAAAAAAACAUAAGGGGUAACACUUGUUUUUUAUUGGUCGUCAUGAAUAAAACAUAAGGGGAAACACUGUUAUUUUUAUCGUCAUGAACAAAAACAUAAGGGGUAACACUGUUGUUUUUUAUUGGUCGUCAUGAAAAAAACAUAAGGGGUAACACUGUUGUUUCUUAAUGGUCGUCAUGAAUAAAACAUAAGGGGUAACAAGGUUGUUUUUCAUUGGUCGUCAUGAAAAAAACAUAAGGGGUAACACUGUUGUUUUUUAUUGGUCGUCAUGAAAAAAAACAUAAGGGGUAACACUGUUGUUUUUAUUGGUCGUCAUGAAUAAAACAUAAGGGGUAACACUGUUGUUUUUUGUCGUCAUGAACAAAAACAUAAGGGGUAACACUGUUGUUUUUUAUCGGCCGUCAUGAAAAAAACAUAAGGGGGGUAACACUGUUGUUUUUUAUUGGUCGUCAUGAAUAAAACAUAAGGGGUAACACUGUUGUUUUUUGUCGUCAUGAACAAAAACAUAAGGGGUAACACUGUUGUUUUUAUCGGCCGUCAUGAAAAAAAACAUAAGGGGUAACACUGUUGUUUUUAUUGGUUGGUCAUGAAAAAAAACAUAAGGGGUAACACUGUCGUUUUUAUUGGUCGUCAUGAAAAAAAACAUAAGGGGUAACACUUGUUUUUUAUUGGUCGUCAUGAAUAAAACAUAAGGGGAAACACUGUUAUUUUUAUCGUCAUGAACAAAAACAUAAGGGGUAACACUGUUGUUUUUUAUUGGUCGUCAUGAAAAAAAACAUAAGGGGUAACACUGUUGUUUUUUAUUGGUCGUCAUGAAUAAAACAUAAGGGGUAACAAGGUUGUUUUUCAUUGGUCGUCAUGAAAAAAACAUAAGGGGUAACACUGUUGUUUUUUAUUGGUCGUCAUGAAAAAAAACAUAAGGGGUAACACUGUUGUUUUUUAUUGGUCGUCAUGAAUAAAACAUAAGGGGUAACACUGUUGUUUUUUGUCGUCAUGAACAAAAACAUAAGGGGUAACACUGUUGUUUUUUAUCGGCCGUCAUGAAAAAAAACAUAAGGGGUAACACUGUUGUUUUUUAUCGGUCGUCAUGAAAAAAACACAAGGGGUAACACUGUCGUUUUUAUUGGUCGUCAUGAAAAAAAACAUAAGGGGUAACACUGUUGUUUUUUAUCGGUCGUCAUGAAAAAAACAUAAGGGGUAACACUGUCGUUUUUAUUGGUCGUCAUGAAAAAAAACAUAAGGGGGGUAACACUUGUUUUUUAUUGGUCGUCAUGAAAAAAACAUAAGGGGGGUAACACUGUUGUUUUUUAUCGGUCGUCAUGAAAAAAACAUAAGGGGUAACACUGUCGUUUUUAUUGGUCGUCAUGAAAAAAACAUAAGGGGGGUAACACUUGUUUUUUAUUGGUCGUCAUGAAUAAAACAUAAGGGGUAACACUGUUGUUUUUUGUCGUCAUGAACAAAAACAUAAGGGGUAACACUGUUGUUUUUUAUUGGUCGUCAUGAAAAAAAACAUAAGGGGUAACACUGUUGUUUUUAUUGGUCGUCAUGAAUAAAACAUAAGGGGUAACACUGUUGUUUUUUGUCGUCAUGAACAAAAACAUAAGGGGUAACACUGUUGUUUUUUAUCGGUCGUCAUGAAAAAAACAUAAGGGGUAACACUGUCGUUUUUAUUGGUCGUCAUGAAAAAAAACAUAAGGGGUAACACUUAUUUUUUAUUGGUCGUCAUGAAUAAAACAUAAGGGGUAACACUGUUGUUUUUUGUCGUCAUGAACAAAAACAUAAGGGGUAACACUGUUGUUUUUUAUUAAGCCGAGGCUUCCAGCCAUAGGACGUGACGGGACGGAGGCAGAACCACCCAUGGAACCACCCCCACGCGGAC